UUGAACGCUGGCGGCGUGCUUUACACAUGCAAGUCGAUCGGUAACGCGGGGGCAACCCUGGCGACGAGAGGCGGACGGGUGAGGAACACAUGGGAAUCUGCCCUUCAGCGGGGGACAACCCGGGGAAACCCGGGCUAAUACCGCAUACGCUCCACGGAGGAAAGCCGGGGACCGCAAGGCCUGGCACUGAUGGAUCAGCCCAAGUCGGAUUAGCUAGUUGGCGGGGUAACGGCCCACCAAGGCGACGAUCCGUAGCUGGUCUGAGAGGACGAUCAGCCACACUGGGACUGAGACACGGCCCAGACUCCUACGGGAGGCAGCAGUGGGGAAUAUUGGACAAUGGGGGAAACCCUGAUCCAGCGACGCCGCGUGGGUGAAGAAGGCCUGCGGGUUGUAAAGCCCUUUCGGUAGGGACGAAAGCUCUCGACCUAACACGUCGGGAGGUUGACGGAACCUACAAAAGAAGCACCGGCUAACUCUGU
rnacentral:rRNA from 1 species